UUUCUAGAUCACCAUCUAAAUACCUUAGGACCAGAUCCUGUCUGUUCUUCGAAAUUAAGCAGGAUCUGGCCUGGUUAGUACUUAGAUAGGGUACUGCUAAUGAACACCAGGUUGGCAAGAAAC
rnacentral:rRNA from 1 species